CCUACGGGAGGCAGCAGUGAGGAAUAUUGGUCAAUGGGCGAGAGCCUGAACCAGCCAAGUCGCGUGAAGGAUGACGGCCCUACGGGUUGUAAACUUCUUUUGUCAGGGAGCAAUUGGGUCCACGCGUGGGCUUAGCGAGAGUACCUGAAGAAAAAGCAUCGGCUAACUCCGUGCCAGCAGCCGCGGUAAUACGGUGGAUGCGAGCGUUAUCCGGAUUUAUUGGGUUUAAAGGGUGCGUAGGCGGAAUAUCAAGUCAGCGGUAAAAAUUCGGGGCUAAACCCCGUCGUGCCGUUGAAACUGAUGUUCUUGAGUGGGCGAGAGGUAGGCGGAAUGCGUGGUGUAGCGGUGAAAUGCGUAGAUAUCACGCAGAACUCCGAUUGCGAAGGCAGCAUACCGGCGCCCAACUGACGCUGAAGCACGAAGGCGUGGGGAUCGAACAGGAUUAGAUACCCUGGUAGUC
rnacentral:rRNA from 1 species